AGCGCCAUCUUGGAACUGGGCGCCAAGUCACAAACCGGGGCCGGCCAUUUUUAUUUAGGGGAAUGGCAUCCUUUUGUGUGGGCGUGGGUAGCCAUUCUUGUUUGGGGCAGAAGCCUUGGCAGUUGAAGGCUGCUCUGCUCCUUCAGUUCUGACCCCAUUUCCUCAGGAUCUCAUUCCCUGAGGAUCGAGGCCUGACAUUUCAGACAGAAGCUGAAGAAAGGAGGUCAGAGAGCAUUGGAGACCAGGAUUUAGAAUGGAGUCACUGUGCAAAUUUGGGCAAGUUUUUCAGUCACUUUGUUCCUUCCACUCUACUGAGCUAGACUUGAAAUGGAUGACUGUAAAGAGAAAUUUUUGCUUCUUUAUAGUCUCAAUUUAAUUUGCAGGCUAGCAGUGUGUGUGUGUGUGUGUGUGUGUGUGUGUGUAUGUUUAGGUAGGACCAACACCAAGUACGAAGUUGGAAACAUGGAGGAAGACAAAGGUGGGUGUUACAUGAGGCACGGUAGCCAUUAAGUGCACGAAUAUAACGCAAAUCGCAUGCAAAUGUAUGCAGACUUUGCAUUAAUUUGUAUACUUUGGAGUUGAAAGCAGCACUGAAAUCCUGAAAGCUCAAAACUGAUGUUUUUAGAUUAAACGAAAAGUAGUGCUCUUUUAGGGUAUCGCUUUCUUGAUGCUUGCCAGGACUCACUCAACUGCUGAAAGUUUGACACUUUUCCCUACCCCCCAUGAUGAUUUCAAUGUCUGAUUCCAUCUUACGCCCGGUCCCGCCCCGCUCAGUCUGAUAUCACGUGACACCAUAUUUGCAUACUACCUGGGACUGGGCGUGAUGCUCCCCUUUCCUGCGUC